rnacentral:rRNA from 1 species
AUUGAACGCUGGCGGCAUGCUUUACACAUGCAAGUCGAGCGGUAACAGGCCUUCGGGUGCUGACGAGUGGCGAACGGGUGGGUAAUGCAUCGGAACGUACCCAGAGGUGGGGGAUAACGCAGCGAAAGCUGUGCUAAUACCGCAUGUGAUCUGAGGAUGAAAGCGGGGGACCGAGCAGCAAUGUUUGGCCUCGCGCCUUUGGAGCGGCCGAUGUCGGAUUAGCUAGUUGGUGGGGUAAAGGCCUACCAAGGCGACGAUCCGUAGCUGGUCUGAGAGGACGACCAGCCACACUGGGACUGAGACACGGCCCAGACUCCUACGGGAGGCAGCAGUGGGGAAUUUUGGACAAUGGGCGCAAGCCUGAUCCAGCAAUGCCGCGUGCGGGAAGAAGGCCUUCGGGUUGUAAACCGCUUUUGGCAGGAACGAAACGGUGUCCGCUAAUACCGGGCGCUAAUGACGGUACCUGCAGAAUAAGCACCGGCUAACUACGUG